rnacentral:rRNA from 1 species
CGUCAGUACAUCACUCUCGUUUCUAUAUAUCCUUUUCGCGGCCAAUCCAAGUGUAAGGCCGUGGGCGCACAUGAUUUUUUUUGCCGUUUUGUUUCGAGCGAAAAAGUGCAUCGAGGUUAACGGCGUUAAGAAAGCAUCAAAAACACCUUGAGAAUCCGCUUUCGAUUCUUUUUACGUGCCAUAACUUUCCGCAGCCCGUUUGAGGGUCCAAACGGCUGAAUUUGAGCCCGAAAAAUUGCGCCCCCUAUUCCCCGCCCAUUAUGGUUUCUGGGGCUUUCCGAAAUGGUGCUAUGGGCGACGUAGUUCUCACGGUUCAAAAGUUAUGAGGUUUUCAAGUUUAGACUCGUUUUAGGCUAAAAAAAAUAAAAAAAUAAAAAGGGG